UGGGGAAUCUUCCGCAAUGGACGAAAGUCUGACGGAGCAACGCCGCGUGAGUGAUGACGGUCUUCGGAUUGUAAAGCUCUGUUAAUCGGGACGAAUGGUUUGUGUGCAAAUAGUGCAUAGACAUGACGGUACCGGAAUAGAAAGCCACGGCUAACUACGUGCCAGCAGCCGCUGUAAUACGUAGGUGGCAAGCGUUGUCCGGAAUUAUUGGGCGUAAAGCGCGCGCAGGCGGACUAGCCAGUCAGUCUUAAAAGUUCGGGGCUUAACCCCGAGAUGGGAUUGAAACUACGAGUCUAGAGUAUCGGAGAGGAAAGUGGAAUUCCUAGUGUAGCGGUGAAAUGCGUAGAUAUUAGGAAGAACACCAGUGGCGAAGGCGACUUUCUGGACGAACACUGACGCUGAGGCGCGAAAGCCAGGGGAGCGAACGGG
rnacentral:rRNA from 1 species